GUUUAGUAGCUCGAAUUCGUUGAUUUGCAUGUUCUUUGAAAUAUGAAUUUGGAGCAUAAUUAGUGAUUUAGAUGAAAUAUAUAUGUUGGACUUGGAAUUGACUUAGGAGAAAACUAUUUAACUCUACACUGUCAUUUUCUGAAAACUACUAGAUUUAGUUUUAGGAGUUGUAGUUUGUUUGUAUUGCCGCAGUUUGUACGUGGUGGAUACUCAGAUUGGUCUAGGUUGAAUUUACGCUCGUGCUGGGAUGCCGAGCUUACUUUAUAGUUGUGUGUAGACUGUUUCGGACUGUCGGAUGCCGUCGCGAUUGACGGUAGACCCAAAUUUCUGUAUUUUGCAUCAGAUUGUGCCGAGGGCACGUGAGUUUU
rnacentral:lncRNA from 1 species